rnacentral:misc_RNA from 1 species
ACAAGAAGCUGGAAAAUCUGAACCUGAUGCCCCUGAGGUAAUAUUCAGUGAGGUGGAAGAUGAGAAGCCCAAGGAAGUAGACUUGCUUCCAGCAUUAGAAAGGCAAAAGCGAAUUGCACAGUUGCAAGCCAAACUAUUCCAAGCAGCUGCAGAAGGAGCAGUGAGGAUCAAAAGGAGAAGAGGUCCGCAUAGAGGUGAGGAUUUCACCUUGAUGCAGGCACUGAUUAAGGCAGAUUUCUGGCUUAUUUUUGUCUCACUUUUGUUGGGUUCUGGAUCUGGGCUGACUGUGAUUGAUAACCUGGGUCAAAUGAGCCAGUCUCUAGGGUAUGAUAACACACACAUAUUUGUGUCCAUGAUCAGCAUCUGGAACUUUCUUGGCCGUAUUGGCGGGGGUUAUUUUUCUGAGGUUAUUGUGAGGGAC